rnacentral:rRNA from 2 species
AGAUGCGAUCAUACCAGCACUAAUGCAUCGGAUAUCAUCAGAACUCUGCAGUUAAGCAUGCUUGUGCGAGAGUAGUAAUAGGAUGUGUGACUUCCUAGGAAAUCCUUGUGUUGCACCUC